CAUCCAUAUUCAAUGGAUAGAUGUUUGAUUUGUGAAAAUUAAUUUUGAGGCCUGUGGAUUGAGCAAAGGUAUUAAGAAGAGCCUUGAGACAGAAAAACUCCUUUUGAUCAGCUUUCAUAAGUAUAAUAGCAUCAUCUGCAUACUGAAUCACUAGAAAAUCACUUUCAUCAUCAGGCCGAAUAGGUUUAGAAAUUAAACCCAACUGGCAGGCUCUAUUAAGGAUUUCUUGUAAUAGCUCAACCCCCAAAACAAACAAUAGAGGGGAUAAAGGAUCGCCUUGUCUUACCCUUCUUUUGCAUUUAAAAGACAUACCAUGAACUCUAUUUAAAAAGGACUGAAGUACACGUUGAGUUAAAAAUCAUGUCAACCCAACUUAACCAUUUAGCAGGAAAACCCAUAUGCCUCAUUAUCAUUAAGAUUGCUUCAUGUUCAAUGGAGUCAAAAGCUUUCUCAAAAUCAAGCUUUAUAAUUACAAUUUCCCUAUUUGAUUGUUGACAUUGGUGAAUGUAUUCAAAAGCCCAUGCUAGACAAUCUUGUAUUGUUCUUCCUUUAAUAAAACUAUAUUGAUUUUGAUGAAUCAAUUUGGUGAUCACCCCUUGUAGUCUAUCAACGAAUGCCUUAGUUAGCAACUUCAGACUUAUGUUCAUUAAGGAGAUAGGUCUAAAAUCAUUAGCUGUUUCCAGAUUUGUCUUCUUUGGCACCAAAGUAAUAAAUGAAGAAUUUAGAGGCUGAAUAUCUAUGCAACCCGCAUGAAAAUGAGCAAUAAGUCUGUAAAAAUCUUGAACAAUAAUGGGCCAACAUUUCUUCAAGAAAUAUCCAUUAAAACCAUUGGGUCCUAAAGCCUUGUCUAUAGAUAUUCUUUUGACCAGAUCAUCUAUCUCCUGGGAAGAAAAAGGAUCUACCAAAUAAGACAAAUCUGUUGUUCUAGUGAAGAAAUUAACUAGAUUGAAAGCCAUGCUCAUACCCAAAGGGGUUCCCAUUCUAUUCUUGCAAGAUAGAUAGAAGAGGUCAGUUUUGUCCUAGUGGGAGAUCAGACUAUUACCCAUCCCAGCAGAAAAAUGAGAAAUGGUAUUAAACCUAUAUCUUUCAGUAGCCAUAGCAUGAAAAAAAAUGUGUUUUCCUCCCCCAGAACCAUCCAUAUGUUUGUGCAUCUUUUUUUCCAAUAUUUUCUUCUAUGACCAAACAAUUUGAGAAUAUGUUUUUUUUUAACAAUUUCUCUGAAAGCCCACUCAUGGAGAACCAGAGAUAUGCAUUCUUCUAUUAAGUCCAAGAAGUGAAGGACCUUAUUGCUAUUAUUUAUAAGAGCAUUUAGCCUUGAUAAAUUUUUACUCCAU
rnacentral:sRNA from 1 species